AGACGAACCGUACAAACGUUAUUCGGAAUCACUGGGCUUAAAGGGUGCGUAGGCGGCAUAGCAAGUUGGGUGUGAAAUCCCUCGGCUCAACCGAGGAAUGGCGCCCAAAACUGCCUUGCUUGAGGGAGAUAGAGGUGAGCGGAACUACGGGUGGAGCGGUGAAAUGCGUUGAUAUCCGUAGGAACACCGGUGGCGAAAGCGGCUCACUGGGUCUCUUCUGACGCUGAGGCACGAAAGCUAGGGUAGCGAACGGGAUUAGAAACCCCAGUAGUCC
rnacentral:rRNA from 1 species